rnacentral:rRNA from 1 species
CCUGAGAAACCCAAAAGAUCGAAUGGGGAGAUUCAUCGUCAGCUCAUUUUGUAUAUAUGCGAGUUGUGAUAUGGGUUACUACUUGUAGUAUUGCCUGUACAUUCUUGUAUAUUUAUUUGCAAGAUGUUGUCGGCGUGCACUUCUCCCCUAGUAGGACAUCGCGACCCGUUGAGUGUUGGUCUACGGCCCAGGUGGUAGCUUUUGAUGAAUUUUAUUCAUUGAAAACCCCUGGUGUUUUCUGACUGGCAUUCGUCGGUAUUCGUAUGGUAUUGAGCCGCAAUUAUAUGCGUCCUAUCCAUCGCAAGCGAGGUUAGUUACUGAUAGUGCGGACCUAGUGCCGUCGUUGGUGCUAAUCAGCUGUUGGUUGUGUGGAAUUCUAGGACUGGCUCGUUGAAAUACCGGUCAGCGAUGCUACUGCUUUGGGUACUUUCAGGACCCGUCUUGAAACACGGACCAAGGAGUCUAACAUGUACGCGAGUCAUUGGGAUUUUCUAAAUUAAACCUAAAGGCGUAAUGAAAGUAAAGGUCGUUCUUGCGACGAUUGAGGGAGGAUGGGCUAUGUUACGAGAUAGCUCCGCACUCCCGGGGCGUCUCAUUCUCAUUGCGAGAAGAGGCGCACCCAG